rnacentral:rRNA from 1 species
CAAGACCUUGCGCUUUUAGAGCGGCCGAUGCCUGAUUAGCUAGUUGGUGAGGUAAAGGCUUACCAAGGCUUCGAUCAGUAGCUGGUCUGAGAGGACGACCAGCCACACUGGGACUGAGAUACGGCCCAGACUCCUACGGGAGGCAGCAGUGGGGAAUUUUGGACAAUGGGGGAAACCCUGAUCCAGCCAUGCCGCGUGAGUGAAGAAGGCCUUCGGGUUGUAAAGCUCUUUCAGCCGGAACGGAACGGUCACGGCUAAUACCUGUGAUCACUGACGGUACCGGAAGAAGAAGCACCGGCUAACUACGUGCCAGCAGCCGCAGUAAUACGUAGGGUGCGAGCGUUAAUCGGAAUUACUGGGCGUAAAGCGUGCGCAGGCGGUUUUGUAAGUCAGAUGUGAAAUCCCCGGGCUUAACCUGGGAACU